rnacentral:lncRNA from 10 species
UUGUCCUCCGUGAGACUGCACUUCUGAGAACAGUCUCAAGUUAAGAGGUCCCCAGGCCUUCCUCACUCCAGAUGUCUACAGGUUUUGGUGUUCCACUACUCCUUCAGGCUUGACAAUUCACUAGAACAGCUCGCAGAACUCAAUUCUCAAAAAUAACUAGAAUAUUCUGUGAAUGCAACAUCCAGUGAUAAGGAGCGACUGGCUGGAACAGCCUGGGCUCUGUUCCAGUCCCCCCUAGAAACAGGAUGUCCUUCAACACUUUAGCCCAGCAUGUCAUGUUACCCCUGGGGUAUAAAGCCCAGGGUGGGCUGCUAUCCAGGGUCCCUCAGCUGCGGCGCAAGUGGAGUAUGUACAAACAAAGCUUCAUCUACCUUGGUAACUUUCCUGAGCCUUGGAAGACCAGCUCAACAUGAAUCCUAGGCUUCUGCUGUCCUUUGCUGUCUUUCUUCCUCAGCCCACUCUUCAAUCAAUCAAAUCAGUGAAGAUUUAUGGAACAUUUGCCAUGUACCAGGCACUGCUUCAGAGGCUGGAGAUACAAAACUGAACAAGAGCAACACAAUCUCUGGUCUCAUGGAAUUUUCAACCCAAAAAAGAUACAAAUAAAGAAGACAAUUUCUGAUAGAGAUAAAUGCUGUGAAGAAAAUCAUGCAUGAUGUUAGGAUAGAAAUGAUGCCAGGAGGGGCCGGGCACGGUGGCUCAUGCCUGUAAUCCCAGCACUUUGGGAGGCUGAGGCAGGCCAAUCACAAGGUCAAGAGCUCGAGAGCAUCCUGGCCAACAUGGUGAAACCCUGUCUCUACUAAAAAUACAAAAAUUAGCUGAGUGUGGUGGCAUGCACCUGUAGUCCCAGCUACUUGGGAGGCUGAAGCAGGAAAAUCGUUUGAACCUGAGAGGCAGAGGUUGCAGUGAGCCGAGAUCGUGCCACUGUACUCCAGCCUGGCAACAGAGUGAGACUCUGACUAAAAAAAAAAAAAAAAAAAAAAAAAAAAAAUGGUGGCAGGAGUAGCUCCUUUCAGAUGGGGUGACAUCUGAGUUGAAUUCUAAACAGUGAGCCACACCUACCCAUCAGCAUCUUUGCCCAGAAACUUUGCCUUCCAGCAGAGUGAGACUACAAAUUGACUGUUUCGGUUUUUACACUAAAACUAAUCCCUCCACUUGUGAACUAGGUACCAGUCCCUUUUAUCUACUCAAGAACAUUGCUCCAGCAGGACUCCCUUUUCUCCUGUCUCACCAAGUUUUCCGUCUACUGUUUCUAUCUUCAUACAAUCAUGCUAUUUCUAUUAUUAUUAUUAUUUUUAUUUUUAAAUACAGUUGUGCCCAGCUGGAGCAUAGUGGUGCAAUCAUAGUUCAUUGCUCAUUGUAACGUCAAACUCCUGGCCUUAAGCAAUCCUCCUGUCUCAGCCUCCCAAAGCACAGGGAUUACAGGCAUGAGCCACUGCACCAGGCUCAUCUCUCAUCGUUUUUUUUUGUUGUUGUUGUUGUUGUUGUUUUGAGAAGGAGUCUCACUCUGUCGCCCAGGCUGGAGUGCAGUGGUGCGGUCUCGGCUCACUGCAACAUCCGCCUCCCCGGUUCAUGCCAUUCUCCUGCCUCAGCCUCCUGAGUAGCUGGGACUACAGGCGCCCGUCACCAUGCCCAGCUAAUUUUUUUGU